rnacentral:rRNA from 1 species
UUUUUAGAGAGUUUGAUCCUGGCUCAGGACGAACGCUGGCGGCGUGCCUAACACAUGCAAGUCGAACGGACGAGACUUCUUCGGAGGUCAAGUUAGUGGCGGACGGGUGAGUAACGCGUGAGUAACCUGCCUUGCAGAGGGGGAUAACGUUUCGAAAGGAACGCUAAUACCGCAUAACGUAUCUGAUAUCGCAUGGUAUUGAUACCAAAGAUUUUAUCGCUGUAAGAUGGACUCGCGUCUGAUUAGAUAGUUGGCGGGGUAACGGCCCACCAAGUCGACGAUCAGUAGCCGGACUGAGAGGUUGAACGGCCACAUUGGGACUGAGACACGGCCCAGAC